rnacentral:tRNA from 1 species
GGUGGUAGCUCAGUGGUAGAGUGCUUGCCUAGCAUGCAUGAGGCCCUGUGUUCUAUCCCCUGUACUG